UUUCCCUUCCCCGUGAAUUCAGUCAAACCUGCAAACCCCAACUUCCCAAAACAACUCUUCAAAUUCUUAUUCUCUCUCCUUCUCAUGAUUUGAUUUCCAAAAAUCAGUCAUUAAUUCUCUUUAAUAAUUUCCUUAAUUAUCUCUCUUAAAAAAUACUCUAAUUGACUGAAUUCUUCUCCUACACUUCUCUGCAAUUAUGAAAAAGUAUUGUUCAUCCUUGUUUUCCUCUCUAUCAAUUCAUUUUCUGAAAAUAUCCACCUAAAUUCAUGGUGUUCAACGGAUAAAUUUCAUAUAUUUAUAUAUGUAUCAAGAUUUAAGAUAUCUUAAAUAUCAAUAUCUACUUCGAAUUAUUUUCAAUUCAAAGAGCCCUUAAUUCCUUCAAUAACGUUAACGAUGCAGUUGGAACUGAGGCUCUGAAUUAUAAGUCUAUAAUCAGAGGGGAAAUCGGGAGUUGCAGUUGCUGCAUUGUAUCUAUGUUGUUGCUAUGUUGUUGCAGUGUGCAUUUGUUGAUGGUGUGUUGUUGUUGUGCUCUACUACUGCAGUGCUGCUUGCUCUGUUGCGUGCUUGUGCUUUUAUCUUAGUUAAUUUGUUGAUGGUGUAGUGGUGUACAUGUUGCCUGACUGCAAUGAUUUUUUUUUUUGACAUUGGAACUGACUGCAGUGAUUGUUGCAGUGACUGCAUUGUAUCUUAUGUGUUAA